UCGAGCGACUGAUUAGAAGCUUGCUUCUAUGACGUUAGCGGCGGACGGGUGAGUAACACGUGGGCAACCUGCCUGUAAGACUGGGAUAACUUCGGGAAACCGAAGCUAAUACCGGAUAGGAUCUUCUCCUUCAUGGGAGAUGAUUGAAAGAUGGUUUCGGCUAUCACUUACAGAUGGGCCCGCGGUGCAUUAGCUAGUUGGUGAGGUAACGGCUCACCAAGGCAACGAUGCAUAGCCGACCUGAGAGGGUGAUCGGCCACACUGGGACUGAGACACGGCCCAGACUCCUACGGGAGGCAGCAGUAGGGAAUCUUCCGCAAUGGACGAAAGUCUGACGGAGCAACGCCGCGUGAGUGAUGAAGGCUUUCGGGUCGUAAAACUCUGUUGUUAGGGAAGAACAAGUACNAGAGUAACUGCUNGUACCUUGACGGUACCUAACCAGAAAGCCACGGCUAACUACGUGCCAGCAGCCGCGGUAAUACGUAGGUGGCAAGCGUUAUCCGGAAUUAUUGGGCGUAAAGCGCGCGCAGGCGGUUUCUUAAGUCUGAUGUGAAAGCCCACGGCUCAACCGUGGAGGGUCAUUGGAAACUGGGGAACUUGAGUGCAGAAGAGA
rnacentral:rRNA from 1 species